UACGUAGGACGCAAGCGUUAUCCGGAGUUACUGGGCGUAAAGCGCGGGCAGGCGGUUCUGCCAGUCUGAUGUGAAAUCUCCUCGCUCAACGGGGAGCAGCCAUUGGAAACUACAGAACUGGAGUCUGACAGAGGUAGGCGGAAUUCCGGGUGGAGUGGUGAAAUGCGUAGAGAUCCGGAGGAACACCAGAGGCGAAGGCGGCCUACUGGGUCAGUACUGACGCUGAGCCGCGAAAGCCAGGGGAGCGAACGGG
rnacentral:rRNA from 1 species